GACGAACGCUGGCGGCGUGCCUAACACAUGCAAGUCGAACGGAGCAUAUCGUAUGAAGUUUUCGGAUGGAGUACGCGAAAGCUUACUGGCGGACGGGUGACUAACCCGAGAGUAACCUGCCUUACAAAGGGGGAUUGCGUCUGGAAACGGACGAUAAUACCGCAUAACCUUAUUAUUUCACAUGGGAUAAUAAUCAGAGGAGCAAUCCGCUGUAAGAUGGACUCCCGUCCGAUUAGCCAUUUGUGAGGAUAAAGGCCCACCAAAGCGACAAUCGUUACCCAGACUGAAAGGUUGAACGGCCACUUUGGGACUGAAACACGGCCCAAACUCCUACGGAAGGCACCAUGGGGGGAUAUUGCCCAUGGGAGGAAACUCUGAUGCACCACCGCCCCUGGAGGAAAGACGGUUUUCGAUUUGUAAACCUCUGUCCCCGGGAACAAUAAUGACGGUACCCGGGGAGGAAGCUCCGGCUAACUACUUGCCACCAGCCGCGGAAUUACUUAGUGAGCAGGCGUUGUCCGAAUUUACUGGGUGUAAAGAUGUGCGUAGGCGAUAUUCACAAUUCAGUGUAAAAAACUAUGGGCUUACUUCAUAGAUGGCACUUGAAACUGUGAUGCUUGAGUGAAGUAAAGGCAACCGAAUUUCCCGGGGUACCGGUGAAUGGCUUAAAGAUCGGGAGGAACACCGUUGGCGAAGGCGGUCAGCUGAGUGUUACCUGACGCUGAGGCAAGAAAGCGUUGGGUAGCAACAGAAUAAGUUACCCUUGUUAGUUCACUGCUGUAAACGAGAUGAUUUAUAGGUGUGGGUGGUCUGAUCCAUCCGUGCGUGAGUAUAACACAAUAAGUAUUCACCUUGGGAAGUACGUCCGCCAGAUUGAAAUUCAAAGGAAUGACGGGGGCCCGCACAAGGCAGUGGAGUAUGUGGUUUAUUUGGAAGCAACGCGAAGGACCUUACCAGGUCUUGCAUCCGCGUAAUUAUGCGGAAAUGCAGGAGUCCCUUUCGGCGAAAGGCCAGACAGGUCGUGCAUGUUGUUAGUCAGCUUGUGUCGAGAGAUGUUGAAUUCAGUCCCGCAGCGAGCGCAUCCCUUGUGAUUAGUUGCUGUGUAAGAACCAUUUUAUCGGGCCGCCGUUGGCUAAACGGAGGAAGGGGGGGAAGGCGUCAAAUUCUCAUGCCCCUUAUGAUCCGGGCCACCCCAGUAGUUCAAUGGCCCUCAACAACAGGAUGCAAAACCGCGAGGGGGAGCCAAACCUAAAAAAUGGUCUCAGUUCGGAUUGUAGGCUGCAACUCGCCUGCAUGAAGUCGGAAUUGCUAGUAAUCGCGGAUCAGCAUGCCGCGGUGAAUACGUUCCCGGGCCUUGUACACACCGCCCGUCACACCAUGGGAGUCGGUAACACCCGAAGUCGGUAGUCUAACAGCAAAGGAGGCACCGUCGAAGGUAGGAUUGGUGAUUGGGGUG
rnacentral:rRNA from 1 species